GCGGGCUGGACCUCUCGGGGUUACAGCCUUGCUGAAUUAUUCACCCUUGUCUUUUGCGUACUUCUUGUUUCCUUGGUGGGUUCGCCCACCACUAGGACAAACAUAAACCUUUUGUAAUUGCAAUCAGCGUCAGUAACAAAUUAAUAAUUACAACUUUCAACAACGGAUCUCUUGGUUCUGGCAUCGAUGAAGAACGCAGCGAAAUGCGAUAAGUAGUGUGAAUUGCAGAAUUCAGUGAAUCAUCGAAUCUUUGAACGCACAUUGCGCCCUUUGGUAUUCCAAAGGGCAUGCCUGUUCGAGCGUCAUUUGUACCCUCAAGCUUUGCUUGGUGUUGGGCGUCUUGUCUCUAGCUUUGCUGGAGACUCGCCUUAAAGUAAUUGGCAGCCGGCCUACUGGUUUCGGAGCGCAGCACAAGUCGCACUCUCUAUCAGCAAAGGUCUAGCAUCCAUUAAGCCUUUUUUUCAACUUUUGACCUCGGAUCAGGUAGGGAUACCCGCUGAACUUAAGCAUAUCAAUAAGCGGAGGAA
rnacentral:rRNA from 1 species